UCAAGUUGUUGCUCGCUGCGUCGUGAGCUGCGGCUUGCGUGGCGUGCGCUGUGGUGCACGGCACAGCAGGCAACUUAAAAUUUCGAGAAUCAUAAAAAAUGGACAGUUUUUAGGGUGGAAAACUUAGAGCACGAAGGGAGCAACUUUGGUUAUUGCUAGAGUAUCAAUUUAGAAGAAUUUUGAAGAUAAUUUGAGUCUCCAAACUCUUGGAUUGUGGUGUGAGAAGACUUACCUUGACACAAGAAGAGAAUUAGUACCACGGGUAACCCUUUUAGUAACAAAAGGGUUGAGGUGCUACCAGUGAGACUGAGCCAGGUAGAGAAUCGGGCAGGGGCCAGCAUAUCUGCUACACUCUUUGUAAAGCCUGAUUUUAGUUUGAGUGGUGUACAUAAACUUAUUAUAUGAUAUUAUAUGUUGCUAACUAGGAAUGCAUAUCAUUUUGAUUGGUUGCACUUGUUUCAUACUAUGUUGUUGUGUAUUUUAGCCCAAUAUUGUAUAUGAGGUGAAUAUGUGGUAAUUUUUGUGGUGAUGGGCUAAAAUGCUAAUACAAGUGCAAGGAAUGUUUUAUUUAUGUGGUGAUAAUGUAUUUGUAGUGUAUUAUGUGGCAAUAGAGGCCAAAUAGCAUACAUGAUGUUGAUUUGGUCUUUUGGCCAUAUUAGGCAAAAUGGCCAUUGAGUGGCUAAAUUUUGUGUUUGGUAUGUUUUUGUGUGUUUGGUUGGUCACUCAAGUGUAUUUUGGUCCAUUGGACUUGGU